CCUACGGGAGGCAGCAGUGAGGAAUAUUGGUCAAUGGACGAGAGUCUGAACCAGCCAAGUAGCGUGAAGGAUGACUGCCCUAUGGGUUGUAAACUUCUUUUAUACGGGAAUAAAACGCGGCACGUGUGCCUUUUUGCAUGUACUUUAUGAAUAAGGCUCGGCUAAUUCCGUGCCAGCAGCCGCGGUAAUACGGAGGAUCCGGGCGUUAUCCGGAUUUAUUGGGUUUAAAGGGAGCGUAGUCGGGUUGUUAAGCCAGCUGUGAAAUGUUGGGGGUCAACCCUAAAAUUGCAGUGGAUACUGGCAGGCUUGAGUACGGGGGAGGUAGGCGGAAUUCGUGGUGUAGCGGUGAAAUGCUUAGAUAUCACGAAGAACCCCGAUUGCGAAGGCAGCCUACUAAACUGUGACUGACGCUGAAGCUCGAAAGUGUGGGUAUCAAACAGGAUUAGAUACCCUAGUAGUC
rnacentral:rRNA from 1 species